CUUGCUCCCUGGCGGCGAGUGGCGCACGGGUGAGUAACACGUAUCCAACCUGCCGAUAACUCGGGGAUAGCCUUUCGAAAGAAAGAUUAAUAUCCGAUGGUAUAUUAAAACCGCAUGGUUUUACUAUUAAAGAAUUUCGGUUAUCGAUGGGGAUGCGUUCCAUUAGUUUGUUGGCGGGGUAACGGCCCACCAAGACUACGAUGGAUAGGGGUUCUGAGAGGAAGGUCCCCCACAUUGGAACUGAGACACGGUCCAA
rnacentral:rRNA from 1 species